rnacentral:rRNA from 1 species
CAGACUGCGAGUGCUAAGAUCCGUAGUCGAAAGGGAAACAGCCCAGACCACCAGCUAAGGUCCCCAAAUAAUUGUUAAGUGGAAAAGGAUGUGGGGUUGCACAGACAACUAGGAUGUUAGCUUAGAAGCAGCUAUUCAUUCAAAGAGUGCGUAAUAGCUCACUAGUCGAGUGACCCUGCGCCGAAAAUGUACCGGGGCUGAAACAAUUUACCGAAGCUGUGGAUCCCUUAGGGGAUGGUAGGAGAGCGUUCUAUGUGCGCAGAAGGUGUACCGCAAGGAGCGCUGGAGUGCAUAGAAGUGAGAAUGCCGGUAUGAGUAGCGUAAGACAGGUGAGAAUCCUGUCCACCGUAAGACUAAGGAUUCCAGGGGAAGGCUCGUCCGCCCUGGGUUAGUCGGGACCUAAGGAGAGACCGAUAGGUGUAUCCGAUGGGCAACAGGUUGAUAUUCCUGUACUAGAGUAUUGAGUGAAGGAGGGACGCAGCAGGCUAACUAGAGCGUGCGAUUGGAAGAGCACGUCCAAGCAGUGAGGUGAGGACUGAGUCAAAUGCUUAGUUCUGCGCCACCAAGCUGUGACGGGGAGCGAAGUUUAGUAGCGAAGCUAGUGAUGUCACUCUGCCAAGAAAAGCUUCUAGCGUUAAUGAAUACUCUACCCGUACCGCAAACCGACACAGGUAGUCGAGGCGAGUAGCCUCAGGUGAGCGAGCGAACUCUCGUUAAGGAACUCGGCAAAAUGGCCCCGUAACUUCGGGAGAAGGGGCGCUGGCGAUAAGUCAGCCGCAGUGAAAAGGCCCAAGCAACUGUUUAUCAAAAACACAGCUCUCUGCGAAAUCGUAAGAUGAAGUAUAGGGGGUGACGCCUGCCCGGUGCUGGAAGGUUAAGAGGAGCGCUUAGACGUUUGUCGAAGGUGUGAAUUGAAGCCCCAGUAAACGGCGGCCGUAACUAUAACGGUCCUAAGGUAGCGAAAUUCCUUGUCGGGUAAGUUCCGACCCGCACGAAAGGCGUAAUGAUUUGGGCACUGUCUCAACGAGAGACUCGGUGAAAUUUUAGUACCUGUGAAGAUGCAGGUUACCCGCGACAGGACGGAAAGACCCCAUGGAGCUUUACUGCAGUUUGAUAUUGCGUAUCUGUUACACAUGUACAGGAUAGGUAGGAGCCAAGGAAGAGUGAACGCUAGUUUACUUGGAGGCGAUGUUGGGAUACUACCCUUGUGUGAUGGCUACUCUAACCCGGUAGGUUGAUCAUCUACGGAGACAGUGUCUGACGGGCAGUUUGACUGGGGCGGUCGCCUCCUAAAGUGUAACGGAGGCGCCCAAAGGUUCCCUCAGACUGGUUGGAAAUCAGUCGCAGAGUGUAAAGGUAUAAGGGAGCUUGACUGCGAGACAGACAAGUCGAGCAGGGACGAAAGUCGGGCUUAGUGAUCCGGUGGUACCGUAUGGAAGGGCCAUCGCUCAACGGAUAAAAGCUACCCUGGGGAUAACAGGCUUAUCUCCCCCAAGAGUUCACAUCGACGGGGAGGUUUGGCACCUCGAUGUCGGCUCGUCGCAUCCUGGGGCUGUAGUCGGUCCCAAGGGUUGGGCUGUUCGCCCAUUAAAGCGGCACGCGAGCUGGGUUCAGAACGUCGUGAGACAGUUCGGUCCCUAUCCGUCGCGGGCGAAGGAAAUUUGAGAGGAUCUGCUCCUAGUACGAGAGGACCAGAGUGGACUUACCGCUGGUGUACCAGUUGUUCUGCCAAGAGCAUCGCUGGGUAGCUAAGUAGGGAGGGGAUAAACGCUGAAAGCAUCUAAGUGUGAAGCCCCCCUCAAGAUGAGAUUUCCCAUAACGUUCAGUUAGUAAGAGCCCUGAGAGAAGAACAGGUAGAUAGGUUGGGAGUGGAAGCGUUGUGAGACGUGAAGCGGACCAAUACUAAUCGCUCGAGGACUUAUCCAAAA